rnacentral:rRNA from 1 species
UACGGGGGGGGCAAGCGUUGUUCGGAAUUACUGGGCGUAAAGGGCUCGUAGGCGGCCAACUAAGUCGGACGUGAAAUCCCUCGGCUUAACCGGGGAACUGCGUCCGAUACUGGAUGGCUUGAGUUUGGGAGAGGGAUGCGGAAUUCCAGGUGUAGCGGUGAAAUGCGUAGAUAUCUGGAGGAACACCGGUGGCGAAGGCGACAUCCUGGACCAACACUGACGCUGAGGAGCGAAAGCCAGGGGAGCAAACGGG